rnacentral:lncRNA from 1 species
GACUUCUAUCUUUCUCAAACUUCCCCACUUCCGGCCGCCCCCAUCUCAUUCUCUUCUCUUCUCUUCUCAGCAGCAAUAGCAAGCUUUUUGAUCGGAUAAAGGUGAACUCUAUUUGUCUUUCUCCAUGUUUUUCCAUCUAUUUACAAAGUAAUUGUAUUUAACAGACUCGACUGAAUUAGCUGUUGCAUCUAUAACUAUUAUACCAUACAAAAUUCGAACUAUUAUACCAUACAAAAUUCGUUUUGAUUAAUGAACAGACUCGACUGAAUUAGCUCUGCCAUGUUUUUCCAUCUAUUUACAAAUC